GCAAGCCAUUUGACAGUUUUUCACUCUUGUUCUUCUCAACACGGAACUAUGACGUUUCGUAAUGGCGGUCGUCGUAAUCUUAUAUUCUAACAUUCUUGUCCCGUAGUACGUCAAUCUUAUACGGUGAUUGGCAUUAUGACCAUGGUAGAGGAGGAGUAAGGUCACUAUCAGGUGAUGUUAUGUAAACAAAGGCACAGCUGAGAGGUGCCAAUGUAGGAACGUCAAGUGUAGUCCGGGGUUGAGUUUCUAUUGGUAUCCAAGAUGGCCGACUUUUAAUCAAGAUGGCUGACUUUUGACCGGAAAAUGGUUGCAUUCUGUUAUUUUCUUAAAAUUUAUGAAAAAGUUGUCCCAAAAAUAUUGGUUAUAUAUAAAAGUUUAAUAUAUUUUCAAAAGAAAAUCCUUUUAUUUUAAUAUAUAUUCUUAAAGAUGAGAACAAUAUGAGCUAAUACAUGAAAAAUUAAGUUUUUUAUUUAUGCCUCUUUUUAACUUACCACAAUAAUAAAUGUUCACCACAGAAAAAUGUUACGAACAAAUAAGCAACCAUGCCGAAUAGUGGGGUCCAGAUUAUGCUCAUUCACAGCCAUAUUUACAUUUUUGCCAUCGUAACGAAGGUUUUUGCAAGAUAAUUUGUUUGAGUUUAUUUCAUGGUUAAAUGCUUUACGAUGGUUUAUUUAGUUAUUUGAAUCUGGAAGAAGUGUGCAAAUUUCCCUUGAGACGAUAAAUAACAGAUCGGGUUGGGAUUUUAUUCCAAUAAAAGUACGGAAUAACUAAACAUGGCCUCGUUAAUACUGCUGCGUAAUGGGUCAGGUGAUGUUCCAAUUUUAUGAUUUAAGAGAUGUAAAAGCGAUUCGCGAUGCUGUGAAGUACUCAAAUGUAUUUAUGAACUUAGUUGGUCGUGAAUGCGAGACAAAAUUUUAAAUUCAAUGACGUGCUUGUGGAAGGUGCACGUCGCAUUGCUAGAAUCAGCAAAGAAGCUGGUGUAGAACGUUUGAUUAUUUGUCUGCUUUAAACGCUAGUCCCAAACCAAUGAGCUUUGUGUUUGAAGGUGGAAGUAACUUUUUGAAGAGCAAAUACUCCGGUGAGCACAUUCGGAUGUUGUACGAGCUAUUGUCAAUUGCGCUUAGGAUACCGAUACUGCUGGUCAGCUUUAUUAAGCUGUUGUGUAGGUUUUGAGCAAAAUUGAAUUUACAUAAAUUCAGAAAACAUGAUUAUUAUAAUUAUCUCUUGAUUUAUCUUACAGUAAAAAAUUGUAUUUUACUGUUCAGACGAAUUAUUAUGAUAUGUAAUACCAAAUUUUUCCACAAUAGUUAUCUCUCUUUGGUACACUCAUUAUCAAAAAUAAUUUUCAAUUUGUCCAUGAAUAAAUUAACUUAAAAAUA